GGGUAGGUGACCGAGUGGCUUAAGGUGCUCGACCGCGGAUCGAGUGGGGUUGCGAAGCCCCCGCGGGUUCGAAUCCCGCCCUACCCG
rnacentral:tRNA from 1 species